AUGGAAGCAGAACUCACAACACUAGAUACAGGUACGGUCGAAGCAGAUUGGCUUCGUCGGCUCUUGAAUGACUUACCGGUAGUUGAGAAACCUAUACCGGGUAUCCGGAUGAACUGUGACAAUCAAACUGUGAUCACUAAAGUGAGCAACUCAAAGGAUAACAUGAAGUCAUCAAGACACGUUCAGAGAAGGUUAAAGUCUGUCAGAAAAAUGAAAAACUCCAGAGUUAUUGCAUUGGAUUCUAUCCAAACGUCUAAAAAUCUGGCAGAUCCUUUUACUAACGGUCUAUCACGUAAUGUGAUAGAUAAUGCAUCGAGGGAGAUGGGAAUGAGACCCACA
rnacentral:rRNA from 1 species